CUACGGGGGGCAGCAGUGGGGAAUAUUGCACAAUGGGCGCAAGCCUGAUGCAGCCAUGCCGCGUGUGUGAAGAAGGCCUUCGGGUUGUAAAGCACUUUCAGCGGGGAGGAAGGCGUUAAGGUUAAUAACCUUGGCGAUUGACGUUACCCGCAGAAGAAGCACCGGCUAACUCCGUGCCAGCAGCCGCGGUAAUACGGAGGGUGCAAGCGUUAAUCGGAAUUACUGGGCGUAAAGCGCACGCAGGCGGUCUGUCAAGUCGGAUGUGAAAUCCCCGGGCUCAACCUGGGAACUGCAUUCGAAACUGGCAGGCUAGAGUCUUGUAGAGGGGGGUAGAAUUCCAGGUGUAGCGGUGAAAUGCGUAGAGAUCUGGAGGAAUACCGGUGGCGAAGGCGGCCCCCUGGACAAAGACUGACACUCAGGUGCGAAAGCGUGGGGAGCAAACCGGAUUAGAUACCCUAGUAGUC
rnacentral:rRNA from 1 species